UGGCCUACGGGAGGCAGCAGUAGGGAAUCUUCCGCAAUGGACGAAAGUCUGACGGAGCAACGCCGCGUGAACGAAGAAGGUUUUCGGAUCGUAAAGUUCUGUUGUUAGGGAAGAACACGUACCGAUCAAAUAGGUCGGUACCUUGACGGUACCUAACGAGGAAGCCCCGGCUAACUACGUGCCAGCAGCCGCGGUA
rnacentral:rRNA from 1 species